rnacentral:rRNA from 1 species
GGGGGCGCGCGAACGCCGCGGGCCGCCGGCAGCCGCGAGAGCGAAGAAGGCCCUCGGAUCGUAAAACUCUGUUGUAAGAGAAGAACGUUGAUGAGAGUGGAAAGUUCAUCAAGUGAGGGUAUCUUACCAGAAAGCCACGGGGGGACUGGGGGGGCAGCAGCCGCGGAAAUACGUAGGUGGCAAGCGUUGUCCGGAUUUAUUGGGCGUAAAGCGAGCGCAGGCGGUUGAUUAAGUCUGAUGAGAAAGCCCCCGGCUCAACCGGGGAGGGUCAUUGGAAACUGGUCAACUUGAGUGCAGAAGAGGAGAGUGGAAUUCCAUGUGUAGCGGGGAGAAUUCGUGGAUAUAUGGAGGAACGCCAGUGGCAAAGGCGGCUCUCUGGUCUGUAACUGACGCUGAGGCUCGA